rfam:Salmo salar isolate Sally breed double haploid chromosome ssa06, whole genome shotgun sequence.
UGGCUCAGUUGGUAGAGCAUGGUGUUUGCAACGCCAUGGUUGUGGGUUCGAUUCCCAC